UUUGCCAAAAAGGGAAUGACUGAAAAUGCUCUGAUUAACGAUUGUAUAUCUCUACAAACUCUUACCUUGUGCUUGUCCUUCCUUUUCAAUGUCACAGAAAAACAAAUUCGAAUCAGUGCUCGUCCUCAAUUCCUGAAUUAACUCAAAAAACGUGCAACUGCUUCAGCGCAGUGUAGCCUAGUCAAGAGACAAGCUGUGUUUUGUGCUGUAUCUACAAUCCCGUGUUUUUUUUUUUUAAAAAGGCAUAUGUAAUGCUCUAGAGCAGAAAUAUGUAAACAUAGCUUUCGGUUGGUGAUAAACUCACGCAACACGAGAGAAGAGGUCAGAAGAGAAACAGAUCCGUUUCUCUAUCUGAAGCGCCCAGCUGACGCCCAGUCAGGAGCGCGGCGAGCUGUGCGCUGUCCGCGCUGCGGCCGGUGCUGAUCGUUUUUAAGUAGAGCAAUCCAGGCCCGUAUUUUGCGUCCAGCCUGUAUGCACCUCUGCUCCACGCCGUGCGCGCUCUCUCUCUCUCCCCCUCUCUCUCUCGUCUCAGGGGACCGCCGAGCGCCGCAGCAUCACUGCCUCUGCCUCGCAGUCCUGUCUCCUCACCGCAAACGUGAAUGAGCCGUUCAGCCAUGGGGAGCACCAGGAACGAGGGCUCUCGCGUCUCCCCGCGCCGCCUCUGACACAGGAGAAAGCGAGAGAAAAUACAGAGAGCUACACCGAUUUACAGAUUUCUGCGCGUACGCAGAACACAAGGGGACCUAACCGACAGAAGACCGCAGAUCCCUCUGUCCACCUCAUUAUCAUUCAUGUGUUUACAAUUAGACGAGCGUUGCCGGUAUUAAGAGACUCCUGUAUUUCGGACACAUCAUCCAUCUGAACAGGAUAAUAUCACGCCUGGUUUGCCAUCUGAGUUUCAGUCUUGGACAAUUAAGGAGGAAAAGGGCUCCUUCUUUUCUGGGAUUAUUUCUUGCUGUUUCUGAAGACAGAUUAUCCUGUCAGUCAGGAAGCAAGGGAAAGAAGCUAAGAAGACUCAUCCUCACCCUGGCCUCCCAACAAUGUGCUAGCAAUGUGAGUCCUUCCG